rnacentral:rRNA from 1 species
UUUGAAUGGAGAGUUCGAUCCUGGCUCAGGAUGAACGCUGGCGGCGCGCCUAACACAUGCAAGUCGAACGGUUAAAGCACCUUUUAGGUGUGUAUAAAGUGGCGAACGGCUGAGUAACACGUGGGCAACCUGCCCUCCUCUUGGGGAUAGCCUCGGGAAACCGAGGAUAAUACCCGAUACUUCAAUGUGGCCGCAUGACGACAUUGAGAAAGCUUUUGCGGAGAAGGAUGGGCCCGCGGCCUGUUAGCUUGUUGGUGGGGUAGAGGCCUACCAAGGCAAUGAUGGGUAGCUGGGUUGAGAGACCGACCAGCCAGAUUGGGACUGAGACACGGCCCAGACUCCUACGGGAGGCAGCAGUGGGGAAUCUUGCACAAUGGGCGAAAGCCUGAUGCAGCGACGCCGCGUGCGGGAUGAAGGCCUUCGGGUUGUAAACCGCUUUCAGCAGGGACGAGGCGAAAGUGACGGUACCUGCAGAAGAAGCCCCGGCUAACUACGUGCCAGCAGCCGCGGUAAUACGUAGGGGGCAAGCGUUAUCCGGAUUCAUUGGGCGUAAAGCGCUCGUAGGCGGUCUGUUAGGUCGGGAGUUAAAUCCGG